AUGAUGAUGUACUCCUAUAUCUCAUCUGUAUGCCAUACCAGUAUCUCCAUACUUUUUGGUUAAGAGAAUAAUCAAUCCAGAUAGCACACAAUGAUUUAUACUCGAUAAACAUUAUUGUACUUAUGAAUAAUGUAUCAUUUGAUCGCGAACAAGUUUAAGAACUAUUCAAUAAAUCUUUCUUUAUCGAUUAUAUUAUAAUUCUAAAGACUUCAUCAUAACAU
rnacentral:lncRNA from 1 species